UACGUAGGGGGCUAGCGUUGUCCGGAAUCAUUGGGCGUAAAGCGCGCGUAGGCGGCCCGGUAAGUCCGCUGUGAAAGUCAAAGGCUCAACCUUUGAAUGUCAGCGGAUACUGCCGGGCUAGAGUCCGGAAGAGGCGAGUGGAACUCCUGGUGUAGCGGUGGAAUGCGCAGAUAUCAGGAAGAACACCGGUGGCGAAAGCGCUCUGCUGGACCUUAACUGACACUGAGGGACGAAAGCUAGGGGAGCGAAUGGG
rnacentral:rRNA from 1 species